UUAGUGUCGCCGCACACGGGCCACACGCGACAGCCACAAACGCCGUUUUAAGCUAGUCUGGUCGUAAAGUGAAUCGUUGUUGCGUGUGGCGGUCACCGGCGUCAAAAAAUGUAGGAAAACUACAGGAAAUAUGCCGGUAGCUGCGUUUUGUGGUUGUGGCCGGUGGCCCGCGUGCGGGAGACCUAAAGUUCUUGUUUUUUUAAAAUUUUA